GAUCAUGGCUCAGGAUGAACGCUAGCUACAGGCUUAACACAUGCAAGUCGAGGGGAAACGACAUCGAAAGCUUGCUUUUGAUGGGCGUCGACCGGCGCACGGGUGAGUAACGCGUAUCCAACCUGCCCAUCAUUUGGGAAGUAACCUUGCGAAAGUAAGACUAAUGCCCAAUGAUAUCCCACGAAGGCAUCCGAAUGGGAUUAAAGAUUUAUCGGUGAUGGAUGGGGAUGCGU
rnacentral:rRNA from 1 species